CUCGGUAACACUGAGAAACGGCUCCCUCACCGGAGGAAGGGAGAGGAGGAAGCGCGCAUGUUAUCCCAGAUCCUUCUAUCCUUCUUCACUAGCAACACUCCAGUGUCACAGAGAUCAGCUCGAGGCUGGCCUUGUCACCAGGACACAGGAACCGCCCUUCCUAUGGAGAACCUAAAAUUUUCCAGAGGCUUCAUUUUGAAGAUCACCAUCACCAUCUGAAAAAGACAAGGGAAGGAACAUGUUCAUUUAUGGUUUUCACGUACCGUUAACGAUACUCUUCAGAAAUGGACAAUGCUCUGGAAAACAUUCCACUCGGAAGGAUUAAGAAAGAACACAUCACCUCUCAGAAAUAAUAAAAAUAUGGCUGAGCUCUCGUCGGCGCACAUGACAUCCCGGGCUGUCCCAAGACGUUUCCUGUAACAUGUCAUCUAUAAUAAAGUAAAUCUCCACAA